rnacentral:piRNA from 1 species
UAGUGAAGUUGACUUGGAUAAGAAG